rnacentral:rRNA from 1 species
AAGACCUGCCCGGUGAUUUUUAAACGGCCGCGGUAUUUUGACCGUGCUAAGGUAGCAUAGUCAUUUGCUUCUUAAUUGGUAGCUAGAAUGAAAGGUUAAACUAACUUUAUUAGUUUGUUUAGCUGUAUAUAAAGUUUAAGUCAAGGUAAGAAUUCUUUGAUCUUCUAGGGGACGAUAAGACCCUAGAAGCUUUAUAAUUAGUUUAAGUGUAUAAAUUAAGACAAUUUAUUUUACUGGGGCGGUGUUAGUAAAUAAACUAUUUAAGGUUUGAUUGAUCCUUAAUAUAAAGAUGGUUCGGAAAAGUUACUUUAGGGAUAACAGUGUUAUAUUCUUGGAGAGAUCUUAUCGAUAAGUAUGUUUACAACCUCGAUGUUGAAUUAAGAAUGUCUUCUUACAGUAGCAGGUAUUAAAGAGGGUUUGUUCAACCUUUAAAUUCUUACAUGAUUUGAGUUCAAAUCGGUUUAAGCCAGAUUGGAUUUUAUCUCUAGAUAAUAUAAUUUUCUUUUUAGUACGAAAGGGUCGAUUGAAGUUUUGUUAA